rnacentral:rRNA from 1 species
AGACCCGAAACCCGGUGAUCUAGCCAUGGGCAGGUUGAAGGUUGGGUAACACUAACUGGAGGACCGAACCGACUAAUGUUGAAAAAUUAGCGGAUGACCUGUGGCUGGGGGUGAAAGGCCAAUCAAACCGGGAGAUAGCUGGUUCUCCCCGAAAGCUAUUUAGGUAGCGCCUCGUGAAUUCAUCUCCGGGGGUAGAGCACUGUUUCGGCUAGGGGGCCAUCCCGGCUUACCAACCCGAUGCAAACUGCGAAUACCGGAGAAUGUUAUCACGGGAGACACACGGCGGGUGCUAACGUCCGUCGUGAAGAGGGAAACAACCCAGACCGCCAGCUAAGGUCCCAAAGUCAUGGUUAAGUGGGAAACGAUGUGGGAAGGCCCAGACAGCCAGGAUGUUGGCUUAGAAGCAGCCAUCAUUUAAAGAAAGCGUAAUAGCUCACUGGUCGAGUCGGCCUGCGCGGAAGAUGUAACGGGGCUAAACCAUGCACCGAAGCUGCGGCAGCGAACGUAUCACUUAAAGCGAUUCAGCGGGUUACGAUUGACGGAGCGAAGCGACGUCAAAGCGUAUACAAAGUCGAGUCGGUUUAAGGAUACGUUCGUUGGGUAGGGGAGCGUUCUGUAAGCCUGUGAAGGUGGCCUGUGAGGGUUGCUGGAGGUAUCAGAAGUGCGAAUGCUGACAUAAGUAACGAUAAAGCGGGUGAAAAGCCCGCUCGCCGGAAGACCAAGGGUUCCUGUCCAACGUUAAUCGGGGCAGGGUGAGUCGACCCCUAA